GAAUAAAAUAAAAUAGUACAUGGAUAUAGUUUUGUAAAACAUAUCAUCUUAUGGUACUACAACAAAAUACCAUAGACUGGGCAGUUUAAGUUAUUUCUUAUAUCGGUUUGGAAGCGGAGAAGUUUCUAGAUUGAGGUUCUGGCUUAUGGGUUCCUGGUGAAGACUCCUCCUGGAUUGCAGCUGAAACAUUCUCACCAAAGCCUUCUCCGUGCCACAUUUUGAUAGCAAAGAUUUAGAAACCCUUUGUCUCUUUAAGGGCAUGGUCUUUGUAGGAUGUGGGGCCAUGCCCUUAUGACUUCAUGGAAUUUUAAUUAUUUCCUUACUUCAGUUAUAGCUAUACUGGGAGACAAGACAUGUUCAGUCAACGUACAGUAAAUUUGGAGAGGUUCCUUGGUGAAUUUGUGACUUAGUAUUUUGUAGGAGUGAGUGACGUUAGAUGUGCAUUAUACUGUACUUCAGUCUAGACCUGCAGGUAUAUGUGAAUCAUUUGAGUCCUUACUUCUCUUGUUGACAGUUGGUUAACUAGAGAAGCUGUUUACAAUGGAGAUAAAAUUUAAAAAUGUAUUAGCCACUCUAAUAGUGUCUUAAAAGAUUGGUUUACUUUAUUUUAUACUUGUCAGUGCUUUACUUCAUUGUAUGUUUGUAUACCACAUGAUACAGUGCUUGUGGAGACCAGAAGAUAGUAUUGGAUUCCCUAGAACCAAAGGUUUAGGUGGUUGUCAGCUACCAUGUGGGUGAUGGAAGCUGAACCUUGGUUCUUUUGUAAGAGGAGCAAGCAUGCUUAACUGCUUGACAUCAAUUCAGCCUCUGGUAGUGUCUAGAGCCUGCUUUACUUACUUGAAUUCUGUCCCCCCUAAUUCCAGGUCCUAAUAUGGUUUGAUUCCUUUAAGAACUAUCUCUAAUUCAGUGGUGAUUUAUUAAAAUCAUACUUUUUAGCUAAUAUGUUAAAGCCAUAUAGUUUUUUAAAGUGACUAAAGUGUCAUAGAAUAGACUUUGGAACAAAAAAAAAUCUGAACUGACUUUAGAGUAUAAGUACCUCCCCAUUUUAGGUUCUUUCUGAGUUUAUAUUGCUGGGGUUGAAGAAGUACUUUCAGCUGGUUUCCCAGAGUACUUACGUUGAUAUUCUUUCCCACAGGCCAGCCCUCCAGACCUCUAUAUUGAAAGAUUUAAUAUAGCUCUGGGACAGUAUAUGGGAGCAUUGCAGAGCAUCGUGCCUCUUUUCAUAUAUAUGGUAAGUUAGAGCUCUGUCACCCUUUCUUUCCCAAACCAUGCAAGGCUAAUUGUGUUCUGUUUUUAUUUACUAUAGUUAUAAUUUUUUCCCAUUCCUGAGUCAGUUUACAGAUGGGUGUGUUUAUGAAUAUGGAGCCUAAUUCACCACCUUAUUCUUACAGCACAUCUAAGUGGAAUAAGCCAGAAAUUGGAGGUGAGAAAGCUAGAAGGGCAUUUCUUCUCCAUCCCUCCCACAAUUUUCUUUUAUUAAAUUUGUUCUUUAACAGUUUCAUACGUGUAUAUAGUACAUUCUGCAUGUGUUUUUCUCUAACCCUCUCUUCCUCUGUGCUGUCCCCCACCCCCCAGGAUCCCCACAGGUCUCAUUCCUAUGUACUUGCUGAGAGGAGACCUUUAAAUCCUGUCAGGAAGGAGAGUAUUAGAUGAGGAAAGCUUGAAACACCUUUGUUCAGAAAAAUACCCAAAACAAAAGUAGAUGGGGAACAUUGUAGGAAAUUUGUAAAAUACUAGACACAGAUUUAUUGUCUUUGAUAAUUAACUUUUAUGGAUUAAUUAGAAAAAAGUCAGCAAUACUAUGUUUUUGUCUGAUAUGAAUUAGAUAGUUCACAGAAUACAUAUACAUAUAUAUAUCAUUAAAAAGGAAAAAUAUAUCAUGCCAUUGUUAAAUGUAACUUACAAUUACUUUUAAAUUACUCUUUAAAAAGUGCUUGGAAAUACUUAUUUUUGAUGAAUCUGUAAAAGAAACAGACCUAUAAUUUAGAGUAGAAAUGAAUUGCUAAAAUUGCCUUGAAAGACUCAGAUUUUAUGUGUAAAAUUUCUCAAGUUCAUAAAUAGAUAUAAACACUAAGUGUAUAUAUACACAUAUAUAUGUGUAUGUGUGUAUAUAUAUACACACACACAUGCACGUGCAUACAUACAUUUUAAUAGCAGAACAUUGGACAUAUUUGUAUUGUCAUCAGUUGGGGAUUGUUUUAACAAUUUGUGGAAAACAAGAAAAUAACACAGUUAAUACCAUGGCAUGUUUCUAUAUUUUUGUGGAGAAAUGUCUCCUAGGUCCUAACAUUAGGGUAAAAGUGCCAGGUACUAAGCUACAAGCAGUAUGUAGUACUCAGUGGGGAGAGGAGUGGUUCCCAUGUAAGGAGUGUUUCAAAACAAGUGUAUCAUGUCAUUUUCUCUAUAGAAUGGGACCUAUAAAGCUAAAACACAGGAUCAGCUCUGGAAGGCGUUAACCCAUUGGCAUAGCUGUAGUUUUUAACCAAGGGUUUGCAUGUUAUUUUUAGAUUCCCCU
rnacentral:lncRNA from 1 species